GGUGGCUCAGUGGUAGAGUGCUUGCCUUGAAUGCAUGAAGCCCUGGGUUCAAUUCCUCAGCACCA
rnacentral:tRNA from 1 species